rnacentral:ncRNA from 1 species
GUUUCGGGGCGGAGUGAAAUUCUCCACCGGCGGUAUAGUCCGCGAACACAGUCAUGUGCCGAUCUGGCGAAAUUCCAGAACCGACGGUUAUAGUCCGGAUGAAAGAAA